GCGGAUGGCUGGAUGACCGCGGGUGGCAACACCCGAGGAAAGUCCGGACUCCAUGAAGCAAGGGUGCCGGGUAACCCCCGGCGGGGGUAACCCCAGGGAAAGCGCCACAGAGAACAGACUUCCCUGUUGUUUGAGAGGUUCGCCUCUCGCUUGACAGGGAACAGGUGAAACGGUGGGGUAAAAGCCCACCGCGGGACUGGCAACAGGACCGGCACGGCAAGCCCCACCCGGAGCAAUGCCGAAUAGGGGCCUUGUGUGGAAAGGUCUGCGACUGCCAAUGGUGCAAGCCUGCGGCGACAGCAGAGACCUCCACAGGGACGCUUCAGCCCAGAGGCCCGGGUUGGCAGCUUGACUGCAUCUGGUAACAGAUGUGGCAGAGGAAUGGUCAUCCAGAGGCGCCCAUCGCAAGACAGGGGCCUUGGACAGAAUCCGGCUUACAGGCCAUCCGCGCAU
rnacentral:RNase_P_RNA from 1 species